UAGCCGUAAACGAUACUCGCUAGGUGUCGGCCACGGUGCGACCGUUGUCGGUGCCGUAGGGAAGCCGUGAAGCGAGCCACCUGGGAAGUACGGCCGCAAGGCUGAAACUUAAGGAAUUGGCGGGGGAGCACCACAACGGGUGGAGCUUGCGGUUUAAUUGGAUUCAACGCCGGAAAUCUUACCGGGACCGACAGCAACAUGAAGGCCAGGCUGAAGACUUUGCCGGAUUAGCUGAGAGGAGGUGCAUGGCGUAGUCGUGU
rnacentral:rRNA from 1 species